rnacentral:rRNA from 1 species
AUUGAACGCUGGCGGCAGGCCUAACACAUGCAAGUCGAACGGCAGCACGGGAGCAAUCCUGGUGGCGAGUGGCGAACGGGUGAGUAAUAUAUCGGAACGUGCCCGGUCGUGGGGGAUAACGUAGCGAAAGCUACGCUAAUACCGCAUACAAUCUACGGAUGAAAGCGGGGGAUCGCAAGACCUCGCGCGAUUGGAGCGGCCGAUAUCAGAUUAGGUAGUUGGUGAGGUAAAGGCUCACCAAGCCGACGAUCUGUAGCUGGUCUGAGAGGACGACCAGCCACACUGGGACUGAGACACGGCCCAGACUCCUACGGGAGGCAGCAGUGGGGAAUUUUGGACAAUGGGCGCAAGCCUGAUCAGCAAUGCCGCGUGCA